rnacentral:rRNA from 1 species
CCUUCGGGGUACUCGAGCGGCGAACGGGUGAGUAACACGUGAGUAAUCUGCCCCAGGCUCUGGGAUAGCCACCGGAAACGGUGAUUAAUACCGGAUACGACAACCGAUUGCAUGAUCUGGUUGUGGAAAGUUUUUCGGCCUGGGAUGUGCUCGCGGCCUAUCAGCUUGUUGGUGAGGUAAUGGCUCACCAAGGCUUCGACGGGUAGCCGGCCUGAGAGGGUGACCGGCCACACUGGGACUGAGACACGGCCCAGACUCCUACGGGAGGCAGCAGUGGGGAAUAUUGGACAAUGGGCGGAAGCCUGAUCCAGCAACGCCGCGUGAGGGAUGACGGCCUUCGGGUUGUAAACCUCUUUCAGCACAGACGAAGCGCAAGUGACGGUAUGUGCAGAAGAAGGACCGGCCAACUACGUGCCAGCAGCCGCGGUAAUACGUAGGGUCCGAGCGUUGUCCGGAAUUAUUGGGCGUAAAGGGCUCGUAGGCGGUCUGUCGCGUCGGGAGUGAAAACCAGGUGCUUAACACCUGGCCUGCUUCCGAUACGGGCAGACUAGAGGUACUCAGGGGAGAAUGGAAUUCCUGGUGUAGCGGUGAAAUGCGCAGAUAUCAGGAGGAACACCGGUGGCGAAGGCGGUUCUCUGGGAGUAUCCUGACGCUGAGGAGCGAAAGUGUGGGGAGCGAACAGGAUUAGAUACCCUGGUAGUCCACACCGUAAACGUUGGGCGCUAGGUGUGGGAUCCAUUCCACGGGUUCCGUGCCGCAGCUAACGCAUUAAGCGCC